UACGUAGGUGGCGAGCGUUGUCCGGAUUUACUGGGCGUAAAGAGCGCGCAGGCGGUCGUUCAAGUCGCGUGUGAAAGCCCCCGGCUCAACUGGGGAGGGUCACGCGAUACUGAUCGACUCGAAGGCAGGAGAGGGUAGUGGAAUUCCCGGUGUAGUGGUGAAAUGCGUAGAUAUCGAGAGGAACACCUGCGGCGAAGGCGGGUAGCUGGGCCGACACUGACGCUGAGGCGCGAAAGCCAGGGGAGCGAACGGG
rnacentral:rRNA from 1 species